GCAGCCUUCACCCACGCUGGAAGCUCAGGCUUGGGGACCUCCACUAACUUCAGGUUAGUUCUGGUGACUAUGGGAAUGAGGUGGCCUGUGCAAACUCCUUCCAUAGCUCCCCACUGGCGGCAGGGUACCCACAGCCCCAGCCCAUCUGUUGCAGAGCUGCCACACUCCCCAAGCCAGCCUUACACACACAGUUCCUGGGGUGGCAGCUCCCAGUCCAGCCUCAGUCAUUCAGCCGGAAUCUACACUGGCCCCAGGAGCUUGCUGAGACACCCUCAAUCAGAAAAGGACAGUUCCUCCAGUAGAAGCAGAGGCCACUCCCCUCCGGUGGCUGUGUGACUCUGGGUAACUAAACUCGCUGUAUUCCAGUUUCCUCAUCUGUGAAAUGGGUUUAGAAUGCCUACCUCUUAACGUUGUAGUGAGGAUUAGAUGAGAAUAUAUGCAAAGGGCCUGGCACAGUGCCAGGCACGUAGCUGGUGCUCUGAUAGACGUUCCUUGUUCUAAGCCUGCUCUGAGGCAAAAUUCAAAUUGGCACCAACCCCCAGGGCUCAACUCUCAGAGCCAUCCCUCCCCCAUAUCCAGACUCCCAACUCUUCAUGCAGAUGUGUGGCUCCUGAGGGGACUGAAGCUUCAUCAUCAUCAAUGAGGAGCUGAUUCUUCUGGGCAACGUGAAGGGGUGGCCUAGCUUGAGACACUCUCCUAAUGGGAGGACCACUGAGGAGGGUUCAUUUCCACCCUCCCCUUGUCCACUCCGAUCUGACACCCCAGGGCCAUCAUGCAGGGAGCUCUGGAGUGGAGGGGGACCAACUGCCUGCCCCCAAAGCUGGAGGAGAAGGGUGACCGGACAGCAGGAGGGAAGAAGUGAUGGCCGGCACCCCAGGCCCUGUACCUGGAGUUAGACCUGGAAGCCACCUCUGGAAGAACCUUCAGCCGCAUGAGGACUCUGAUGGGUUAGAAUGUUCCCCUGGAACCCAGAGGGCAGGACUCUCUUAUAGAUUCUUCCAGCCCACCUGUGCUGUCAUCUGGGACAAAGGGCUGCACUGCCUUCUCCUUCCACGACAGGGGCCCCAUGCUGGGAUUACCAUGUGCCAGUUAUGGGGAGACCUGCAGGGGUGGGCAGCCAAGGUCUUGCCUCUCCCGCAGGCACCAAAGGAAUAAAUCAAGCAGAUGUGGCACAAGAAAACGCUGCCCGAGGACCCUGCCUCCUCCUAACCUGCUUUCCACAGCUACCCUGGAGCUCCCGACCCCUCCUGCUGUGCCUGCUCUCCCAUCAGCCCAGAGGCCCAUCCACCAACACCCCCGGCCCUGAAGCACCUCCCCAGGACCCCUGUUUGGGCUCCAAUUCUCUCCUGCGCUCAGGGCUGCCUCAACCACCAGCCUCAGAGCUCCCAGAGGCUGAGGCCAGCUCUCGUGCCUGGUCCCCUGAAACUUGAGCAGUGCCCAGCACAUAGUGGGUGCUUGGCCUUUGCGGCAAGUCUGGGGUGAGGCCGAACGUGGUUGUGUAUGUGCUCACACGUGUGUAAGGGGAGCAAAUUCAUUGUGCACCUGCUAUGUGCCGGGCCAGAGCUAGGCGCUGCACGCAGGGUAUCUCAGCAGAAUCCCUGUUUCCUCCUGGAACCUGGGAACUAACUGGGAUGGGACAUCUCCCUUCAUCCCAGGUCUCCAGCAGUUCAAGGGUUCUCUUGGGCUAAUGGCCCCCUCCCUGCAGCAGCCUGGCAGUGGGGGUAGCCCACGACUCCACGUGGCUAGGGAGCAACUCUAGGGCCCUUGCACACCCACUGAGGUUGGUUUAUUUUAAUCCAUUCCAUCCUCAGCGGAGCAUUAGAAUGCAGUUUGGGGGUGGAAGCAUGGGUGUUUACAUUGAGGAAAAACUUGUAGUGAUUCCACAUUUGAUCUUCAUAAACACCCUGCAUGUGGGUACAUGGGGAGAACAAUCAUUAUCUCUAAUUUACAGAUAGGAACUCUGAGGCCCAGAGAUUAAGGUCGCUCAGCUGCUACUCUGAGUGUCUUUUGAAUGCCAACUCAGGGCCACUUUCUACCACCAGGUAGCCAGAGGCAGGUGCUUGGCAUGCGGGCUAGAGGAGAAAGGGCUCGUUCUGGGACAUCUCUCCCCAGGGAACAAAAACCAGGAGAUCCACGGGUCCACUAAACGGCCGGCUCGCUCUGGGUGUUGAGGAAACCUGGAAGCUGUGGUCUCCUGGGGUGGGAAACAGAGACUGUGCACGGCCUCUGGGCUGGCACGUGAUCAUAGCAGGUACUGAGGUAACACGACCAUGUUACAGUGUCCCACACAUGUUUCAGAUACUUUCCAGAGAUGGACUCAUUUAAUCCUCACAAAACCCUAAAAGGCAGUCUGAUUGUUCCCCUUUUACAGAUAAAAGGACGGAGGCACAGAGAGGUUAAGGAACAUGUCUGAGGUUACACAGCUAGGAAUUAUCCAAUAAAUGUCACUUUCCUUCAGCUCUUUUUAGACUAUUGACUCCUGUGGCAGAAAAUGAAACUGGUCCCUAAAGUUGUGCCCUGAACUUCAGGUCAGGUGUCCCUAAUCUCUUUCCUCAUUCCUCUGCUUACAAAGGCGCACUUCUGCUCGGCAGGUACAAUUGAGGGUAGUUUACUGGAUUCUGUAAAAGCAAAAUUCCUUUUGAUAUGGUAUGCUGUUGGGAUAAGUAUGUUUGUUUUCAUUUUUCAGUAAUUUGCAGCCACUGAUGCUUUCCACCAGCUGAGACUCUGCACAAGAGUGUCCUGGAGAAGGGGCAAUGACUGAGCAGCAGUCUCGGGUGGAACGUGUGAUACAGGGCUUUUCUGGACACAGGGCCCGGCCUGCUUGGGCUGUGGGCGGUGGUGACCUUGGGGCUGUGAUCUCAGUGAAUGGCCAGAGGACAUGCAAACCCAGCAUGAGGCCUGGUAUUUUAGGGUGACUAUGUUUGACUCUUGAGACAUCUGGAUGCAGCUCUUUUUAACAGUUAUUUCUAAACUGUAGCACCAGACAUUUGUCCCCGUGGUUCCUCUCACCAGUGCCCCCUUCUCCGUUGAGGUCGAGGCUGGGCUCAGCCUAGGGGGACGCGGUGGAGAUGCGCGGCGGGAGACAGCGAGGCCCGGCCUAUUCCCUUGCCCCUCUGCAGGCUCUCUUGGCUCAGGUCCCACCACCUCCCCCCCACCCUACCCCCGCCACCGGUCCUCCUGCCCCACCAGGCCUCAGGGGACACGGAGGCUACUGCGAGGCCCAGACCCUGGCCCUUGCCUUUCUAAACAGCCCCUUUAUUAAAUUCUCUCCAGUUACCCACUGUGUGGUGACAGCUGGUUGCUGCCUGUGACACCUCUGAUGUGCACAACAGAUAUUCGGACCCAGUCCUCACUCCCACUGUAUCCUGUCAAAAUAACCUCCACAAACGCCACCCUCCAUUCUGAGGGGCCCAGAGCCCAGGAGAUCCCAGCUCGUUGUAUGUAAAGGAACUGAUGGGCCUGGUGUCUGGACGCCUGGCCACAUGCUGCGGGGAGGUCCUGCAGGAAACUGACAAGAUAGCUGUGCCGAGCGCAAUCCUCCCGAAGUAGCCUCGGGAGCCACCGGGGUCGGUCCGGCCACCCACGGAUCCGACUGAGACCUCCGCUUGGUCAGGGACUGUGCUGCGGGCAGCAGAGCGCACGCGACCUUCCAGAGCUUCCAGGCUGCGAACUAGCCCCUUCUCCCCCCACCAGCUCUACCAAUGCGAGGACGUGGAUGAUGCCUCCCAGCUCCUGCUUCAGCCACCAAUGAGCCGCGCGGAGGCCACGCCCAGCGCUACAAGAAACAGGGGAGGCCGGGAGGUAGGAGGACUCCAGGAGAUGCUGUCCUUUUGGCGUGCGCUGCUCCCGGGAUGCUGACCGCUGGCCUGUCCGCUUUCGGAGAAACAGGAAACGCUCACAGGCUGGUCUAGCCUUGGCACUCUCGGUUUUUUCCAGGUCCAGAAAGCAAUAUAAAACGCAUCCUGUUUCGGCCUCACAUAUGGUGUAUUGCAGCCAACGAGAGUUCAAUCAACUUUAGAACAUCCCAGCUGUACAUGUCAUGUCAUGUCACCUGCUUGUUGAUGGCAACCACAGCAUGGUUUGGUCUGGAGCUGACUGGAAGAAUUGAGAGAGUUCAAGACUUGUCUGGUUUCCCAGCGGGCCCGGAGGAGGUGGAGUUUUCCCUCUCCUUUGCUGGUGGGUUCCUGCCAUUUGCUCUCAAGAAUCCUCCUGGGACAGCCCCUUAGCUGGAUCAGGUGUCUGGAGUUUCUCGCACUGAAGCCCGCAUGCCAAGACCGCAUCCACAGCUGUGGUGAGUUUCCUAUGCACUCCAUCAGUUACUUUUCAAACAGUCCUACGAGGUACCUUUCCAACUUUUCCGAUAAGGAAAUUUUAUAAAAUAGAAGUACUAGUAGCAAAUGACUUCGCAGAGUAGAAUGGGUUUAUGCGGCAGCUAGAGCUACUUGAGGUUAACAACAGCAGCAGUGGACAAUGGCGGUGGUUGAGGAUCUUCGAACAUCUUCAGCAAAUGAGGAGGCUCACCCUGACCAGCCUGGUGAGAAAGAGCUUUGGAGGCAGAAGGGGUAGAGUUUGAGUCUCAGCACUGCCACUGUUCUUGGUUGCAUCACCUCAGACAAGUUACUAAACUCCGAACCUCAGUUUCCUCAUCUGUAAAAUGGGGAUAGUAAUUCAACUGCCACUCUCCCCCCACCUCCUGUGGUGAUCACAUAUGUAAAAUGCCUGGCAUUUAGCCACUGUUUGAGAAGUUAUACCUACUAUUAUUAGUCACCAGUAGCUGGAUUACAUGGAUACUUUGCAGUGGGAAUUUGUGACUGUAUCUAAGGCUUGUCAAUCAUGGGUAAAGUGAUAGAACAUGUAAAACUUGCUUUUUGACCCCCUCCACUUCCUCUGGGCUCCCUGUGUACAGUUUCCUCUGUAAAUUCCCUGUUAGUUUAUCUACACCCCCUCCCCCAACCUGUCAUUGCUCAUGGAUUCAUGUCCUGGAUUUUUAAUUUAUCAAAAUGUGCCUGUCAUGUGUCCUCAUAUUCCUCAGGACCUUACUCUAGGCCUAAUGACUAAUCAAUUGAGGCCAAAAUUACCCCCUCCUGCCCCUAGUUUACUGUCUACGUUAACAUGACUUUAUUCUUCCAUCGUUCAUUAUGAUAAGUUUACUAUUACAGGACACUCUUGCCCUGUCAAAUAAGUUGGUUGUUCAUUUCAGGAAUCUCCUGAAAGAUUCAUCAACUCUUAACAGGAAGCAUCAACACACAGUUCACGCUUGAGAUACUUCAAACCCCUCACCUCAGACUCUCACCUUGCUGCUUCCAACCCCAAACUGCUCUGUUAUGAAACUGCCCCAAUCCUAACCAAGCCCCCGAACUGAAAGACCCACUUUCAGCCAAACUUGAAAUUCUCAUUGAGAUAUCUAUGACCUUGCCCCUCCCCGCUCAGGGUGCUGUGGGGACUACGGAUGGAGGGCCGCGUGCACAGAUUCCCUGGGGACCAUUGCUGCUGGACCUGUGGAGUACUGCAUACAUCCCAGACAGACCCUUCCAUGGUGAAUCUGCCAGUGGUAGAUUCCUAGUUCUAGCCUCAAAGAGGUGAAAGCUAUCUACUCCAUUUGACUUGUAAAAUUACAUGAUGUUUACAUAUCUAUAGUUUAGGCCUCACCAAACUAGAGGUUUACUCUGUGUUUUGUGGAAGAGAAUAACUGAAUUAAGUGCAAAUGCACAGAAGGGUUUCUGGAGCCCAGGCUACCUCCUUGGCUAGGCCACCUGUGGCGGGCCACAUGGCGAGGUCCUGCCCUGGAGAGUCGCCUCCCAGGGAUGGGGGUGGGAAGGUGUUCAAAGGAGAACUUUAAAAACCAACUUAACAGUGAAUCAACACUAGAACAUUUCACCUGAAAGAAGAUCAUUCAUUAAUCUGUAAAAGUUGCAUUUGCUUGUUUGUUUUGGGCUUCCCCGGAGAUGAAUAUUAAAAUACUGCAAAGUUUUAAAAAGUCUGACCAAAUGUUUCAUGUGGUGACUUUGGGUAGACCUAGCCUCAAUCAGAAGCAAACAUAGACCACACAAUUGGAAACUCCUGGAAAGAGAGACAUGCCUCACUUCCUUUUACUUAGAAUCAUAUGAAACUUGACACUGAACAUCCAGAGGAGAUGAACUAGGAUUUGGGUCCAAAUCUGCCUGGGUCCCACACAAUUGUUUGGUUUACUGAGGUUUCCUAAGGUCUUUUUUUUUUUUGCGGUAUGUGGGCCUCUCACUGUUGUGGCCUCUCCCGUUGUGGAGCACAGGCUCCGGACGUGCAGGCUCAGCAGCCAUGGCUCACGGGCCCAGCCGCUCCGCGGCAUGUGGGAUCCUCCCGGACCGGGGCACGAACCCGCGUCCCCUGCAUCGGCAGGCGGACUCCCAACCACUGCACCACCAGGGAAGCCCUCUUCUUUUCUUUUCUUUUUUUUUGGGUGGGUUUGUUUGUUUUCUGAUUUUUUUUUUCUUGUUAAGGCUUCUCGUAUUCUGAUAAGGAUAUAGUGGGGACUUUGUCAUUGGGAAGCCAACCCCUCUCCUCUCCUUCCAGGUGGAGGCCUGGUCAGGGCGCCUCCCACACGCCACAGCAACUCCAUAAAAGGACGAAUAACCUAUGGACAUAUAUACACUACCAAAUGUAAAAUAGAUAGCUAGUGGGAAGCAGCCGCAUAGCACAGGGAGAUCAGCUCGGUGCUUUGUGACCACCUAGAGGGGUGGGAUAGGGAGGGUUGGAGGGAGGGAGAUGCAAGAGGGAAGAGAUAUGGGAACAUAUGUAUAUGUAUAACUGAUUCACUUUGUUAUAAAGCAGAAACUAACACACAAUUGUAAAGCAAUUAUACUCCAAUAAAGAUGUAAAAACAAACAAACAAACAAAAAACAACAAAACCCCCUAGCUUUUCUUCUUAGUGAAUUUUCCUUCAAAUGCAUUUCCUUCAUGAUUUUUGUCCUUUUCUUGGACCUCAGGUGAUAACGCUUUUGGCCUUGCAUUGUGUCAGCUGCUUUCCUUAUAACACUUACCAGGUUUGAUGGCAGGUUUUUUGGCCUGGGCCCUAUUUAACGUCGGUCCUCAGAAUCCAGCCCUACUUUUCAAAAGACUCACAUUGCCUGGUGCUGGAUCAUCCUCAGGAGUGGCUGCAGAAACUCUUGUCCAGGUUUGUCAGUGGUACCGGGGGUGGGGAUGGCAGAGAAUGCUGGCCUUAAAUAAGUAGCCAACAUAACAUUCUAUUCAAAAUGGGCUUCCCUGGUGGCACAG